AACGCACAUUGCGCCCCUUGGUAUUCCGAGGGGCAUGCCUGUUCGAGCGUCAUUACAACCCUCAAGCGUAGCUUGGUAUUGGGCUCUGCCACUCACCUGGCAGGCCUUAAAAUCAGUGGCGGUGCCUCCGUGGCCCUGAGCGUAGUAAAUAUCCUCGCUAUAGGGACUCGGUGGUACUGGCCAACAACCCCCAACUUUCUGAGUUUGACCUCGGAUCAGGUAGGGAUACCCGCUGAACUUAA
rnacentral:misc_RNA from 1 species